UACGGAGGGUGCAAGCGUUAUCCGGAAUCACUGGGUUUAAAGGGUGCGUAGGCGGCUAGAUAAGUCAGAGGUGAAGGUUUGUCGCUUAACGAUAGAACUGCCUUUGAUACUGUUAAGCUUGAAAGUAGGUGAGGUUGGCGGAAUGUGACAUGUAGCGGUGAAAUGCAUAGAUAUGUCAUAGAACACCGAUUGCGAAGGCAGCCGGCUAGACUUACAUUGACGCUGAGGCACGAAAGCGUGGGGAGCAAACAGG
rnacentral:rRNA from 1 species